rnacentral:rRNA from 1 species
AAUGAAGUUUUUGUGACUGAGUGGCGGACGGGUGAGUAACGCGUGGGUAACCUGCCUCAUACAGGGGGAUAACAGUUGGAAACGGCUGCUAAUACCGCAUAAGCGCACAGCAUCGCAUGAUGCAGUGCGAAAAACUCCGGUGGUAUAAGAUGGACCCGCGUUGGAUUAGCUAGUUGGUGAGAUAACAGCCCACCAAGGCGACGAUCAGUAGCCGACCUGAGAGGGUGACCGGCCACAUUGGGACUGAGACACGGCCCAGACUCC